AGCAGAGACACCGAGCAGAGAUCACAGAGGAGUGAAGAGACAGAAAGAGAGUUUUCCCUGUGGAGGGAGAGACCGAUCGUCUUCAGCUUUGAAUCAGGAUGCUUGUUCUCAUCUGGGCGACUCUGCUCUUCUCUGUGAGAGGCAACAGUGCUGAUGCAGGUUCCUCUCCUACAG